UUUGUUAAUUACACUUGAUUUCUCUCUGUCCUUUUUAAUUCUUAGUGUUGCUUCUCAUUCAUAGAUAAUAUUGAUUUUCAAGGUAAAACUAGCCUUGCAUUAAGGAUUGAAUGCAUUUUUAUUAAUCAAGAGAACUCAUUAUUAUACAAACCAUUUAACCAAAUAUAUCUAGCAACAUGUAAUAGAAAUUUGCCUUAUUUUUCUUUUACAUUUUUUACAGAUAGGACAUGGUGCAUGAAGCCUUGGUGUUGGUGGUGGAGCACGAUACAUUUUUCUCAUGAUCUUUCUCAAGUUAUAUUUGGAUGAAAGCUGGAAGUGUAUUGAAAUGUACAAAUGACUUGAAUCUAAAACAGCAAUUCUGAAAAUUUGACAACUUGGAGCAAGAAUGAACUGGGUGGACUGCUUCAUCCACAGUACAUCUGCAGAGUCCAUGGAGAUCCUCAGCUUUCAUCCUUCUGAACUGGACUCCAAGGCCAACAUCAUGGCCCUGUCUAGCUCACUGGCUUGGCUUGCCUUAAAAGAGUUUUGUUUUGCAAAGAGCACAAAAAGUCCCUGUUGCACUUUGCAGUGUAGCGGUGGCUUGGCUCCUUUGCACAUUGAUGCUGCAGCAGGUGAGCACGGGGGGCAAUAAUGGCAGCUGGAUGAUCCUGGUGAGCCCAAGCAGGGGGUCAGGUGCAAGUGUCUGGAGCAAAUUGGUGACAGAAUGCAAAGUACCUUAAGUGGGAAGCCGUGAACAGCUGUCACGGUGGCAAACAGCCACGACCGAUGGCACUCUGGCUGUUUCCAUACAGAAAGAUCCCGCAUCCAGGGCCUGGCUUGGGUAGAGUUUGUGUGGUGUGCAACGGCAUCUAACCAGUUCAGGUGCAUGACUGCCACUCAAGGCACACUGUGGGUGUGUUGUGGGUUCUUUGGGGUACCUUAUGGCCCCUCCACUUCUAGGGAGACAGAGGAGUUGCCUAAAUACAGGACAGUCCUUAGCGUGUCAUCACCUCUUGGACGUACGAUCACCAUACCCUCUGGCUUUCCCACUCUCAUCCCUCCCUAUCCAUUCUUUCCUUCCUCUUUUUGUAGUAGUUUAUUUCCUCUUCCCAUUCAUUCUUUCUCACAUCUCCUUUUUUGUGAUGAUUUUAUUUCUCCUAAUCAAUUUAUUUUUUUCUUUUCCAUCUUUCUCCUUUCAAAUGUAUGCAAAGAGUAUAAAGGUAUUCUCUAGCAACCCUUCCAGCUGUACACGGCACAUUUAACAUUUUCUUGUGAGUAAGAGUGCUCCUGAUCUUGUAAAAAUGGAAAGUCAUCUUGUCACUGCCUACUGGGUUUAAACACACAGGUAAUCUACGGAUCAACGGAGAAUUUUCCUCACUGUAAAGACACAGUAACAGCUGACAAGAGUUGUAUCACUUGUUUUACUAGUGUAUGUACUGUAAUUGUUUUAGUCUAUUGGUGAUUAGAAUUUUGUUGAUAGAAGCU